UUGAUAUGAGUCCACAAGCCAGGCGGGUUUAAGGCUUGGGGCACCUAAACCAGGAGAAUCAGGGAGGAGCCAGGCACAAGGAUGGGCCCCGGCACCCCUCACUUCCGGUGAUUUCCAUGUGGCAAGGCUGUGGGCCGCCCUGGUGAUCUCUGAAGACAUGACUGGAUCUACCCGCUA
rfam:Sus scrofa chromosome 8.